rnacentral:lncRNA from 1 species
CCGAAAGGUUCUGUUAACUCUCGAUUUAGUGGAGACGAGACACAAAUCGAUCCGGCUUCCGAACAACACGAAGGCAAACCCUGCAAUUUUUUUAUUUUUUUAUGUUUUUCUUUUACUUAGGUGCACUAAAGAAGUAACCACAGAAAAUUUGAGCUUAAACAAGUGAAAGACGUGGCUUGCAGAAUUUUCUAUAGAUUGUGAAAAAUGUGAAAAAAACUUCACGAGGUGAAAACUUAAACUUCGGAGGUGUAUUUGGAAGUUCUAAAUUUUUCAAACCCGCUUGUGGUAGGGACAGGCAAACCCGAAAUUUUUUCUGAUUGAUUUUGAUAUAUGGAACGUUGAAAUCGGAGUUCGUACGCGAAUGUUAUGGCUAUUUUACAAACGAACUGCGAAUUAGAGUACAAAACGGUCCGAAAGUGGGAAAAAUUUGCGGCGGUGCCCAGAAAUUGAUGGAAACGGUGGGGAAAAACAUACUAACUGGACUCUAACAAGACCUAACCAGCAACAACCUCGACCAGGACACAAACUCAAAACAACGGACUCUGAAUCUGAAAUAUGGAAAAGCUAUGGCGCGGAAGGGUUGUAGAACAGGAAAACAAUAUGGCACUGGACUCAUGGGACGAACAUAAGAACACAAGAAACUAAGGGUAGAUGUGAACCUAACGGUACACCUAAAGCUUUGAUUACCACUUGAUGAGAACAAGGGUGGCCCGAUCUUCCGAAAGGUUUUGGUAACUCUCGAUUUGGUGGAGAUGAGACACAAAUCGAUACGGCUUAUGAACAACACGAUCCGAAACCCUACAUUUUUUUUAUUUUUUUGAUAUUUUUAUUUUACUUAGGAGCACUAAAGGAGUAACCACAGAAAAUUUGAGCUUAAACAAGUGAAAGACAUGGCCUGUUGAAUUUCUCAAGAUUGUGAAAAAUGUGAAAAGAACUUCACGUAUUGGAAACUCAAACUUCGGAGGCGAAUUUCAAGAUUCUAAAAUUGUCAAACACGCAAAAGUGAGGGACAAACAUAUCUCAAAUUUUUUCUUAUCGAUUUUGAUAUAUGGAACGUUGAAAUCGGAGUUCGUAUGCGAAAGUUAUGGCUGUUUUACGAACAGACUCCGAAUUAGAGGACAAAACGAUCCGAAAGUGGGAAUAAUUCGCGGUGGUGGCUAGAAAUUGAUGGAAAUGGUGGGGAAAAACAUACGAACUAGACUCUAACAAGACCUAACCAGCAACAUCCUCGACCAAGACACAAACUCAAAAUUGCGGACUCUGAAACUGAAAUAUGCAAAGGCUAUUGCGCGGAAGGGUUGUAGAACAAGAAAACGAUAUGGCACUGGACUUAUGGGACGAAUACAAGAACACUCGAAACUAAGUGUAGAUGUGAACCUAACGGUAUACCUGAAGCUUUAUUACCACUUGAUGAGAUCAAGGGUGGCCCGAUCUUUCGACAGGUUCUGGUAACUCUCGAUUUGGUGGAGACGAGACACAAAUCAAUGCGGCUUCCAAACAACGCGAUCUGAAACCCUGCAAUUUUUUUAUUUUAUUGAUAUUUUUAUUUUACUUAGGAGCAUUAAAGAAGUAACCAUAAAAAAUUUGAGCUUAAACAAGUAAAAGACGUUUCCUGCAGAAUUUUCUGAAGAUCGCAAAAAAUGUGAAAAAAACAUCACAAGGUGAAAACUGAAACUUCGGAGGUGAAUUUGGAGAUUCUAAAACUUUCAAACCCGUAAAUAGCAGUAACAGACAGAUCCGAAUUUUUUUGAUCGAUUUUGAUAUAUGGAACAUUAAAAUCGGAGUUUGUAUGUGCAAGUUAUAGCUGUUUUACGAACGGACUCUGAAUCAGAGGACAAAACGGUCCGAAAGUGGGAAAAAGUUGCAGCGAUGGCUAGAAAUUGAUGGAAACGUUCGGAAAAAAACACGAACUAGACUCUAACAAGACCUAACCAGCAACAAGUCCUCGACCAGGACACAAACUCAAAACUGCAGACUCGGAAACUGAUAUAAAAAGGCUAUGGCGCGGAAGGGUUGUAGGACACAAAAACGAUAUGGCACUGGACUUAUGGGACGAACACAAGAACACUCGAAACUAAGGGUAGAUGUGAACCUAACGGUAUACCUGAAGCUUCGAUUACCACUUGAUGAGAACAAGGGUGGCCGGAUCUUCUGAAAGGUUCUGUUAACUCUCGAUUUGGUGGAGACGAGACACAAAUCGAUCCGGCUUCCGAACAACACGAAGGCAAACCCUGCAAUUUUUUUUAUUUUUUUGAUAUUUUUCUUUUACUUAGGUGCACUAAAGAAGUAACCACAGAAAAUUUGAGCUUAAUCAAGUGAAAGACGUGGCCUGCAGAAUUUUGUAAAGAUUGUGAAAAAUGUGAAAAAAAACUUCACAAGGUGAUAACUUAAACUUCGGAGGUGUAUUUGGAAAUUUUAAAAUUUUCAAUCCCGCUAGUGGUAGGGACAGGCAAACCCGAAAUUUUUUCUGAUUGAUUUUGAUAUAUGGAACAUUGAAAUCGGAGUUCGUACGCGAAUGUUAUGGCUAUUUUACGAACAGACUCCGAAUUAGAGAACAAAACGGUCCGAAAGUGGGAAAAAUUUGCGGCGGUGGCUAGAAAUUGAUGGAAACCUGCGGACUUUGAAUGUGAAAUAUGCAAAAGCUAUGGCGCGGAAGGGUUGUAGAAUAGGAAAAUAAUAUGGCACUGGACUUAUGGGACGAACACAAGAACACUCGAAACUAAGGGUAGAUGUGAACCUAACGGUAUACCUAAAGCUUUGAUUACCACUUGAUGAGAACAAGGAUGGCCCGAUCUUCCGAAAGGUUCUGGUAACUCUCGAUUUGGUGGAGACGAGACACAAAUCGAUACGGCUUCUGAACAACACAAUCUGAAACCCUUCAUUUUUUUAUUUUUUUGAUAUUUUUAUUUUACUUAGGAGCACUAAAGGAGUAACCACAUAAAAUUUGAGCUUAAACAAGUGAAAGACAUGGCCUGUGGAAUUUCUGAAGAUUGUGAAAAAUGUGAAAAGAACUUCACGUAUUGGAAACUCAAACUUCGGAGGCGAAUUUCAGGAUUCUAAAGUGGUCAAACCCGCGAAAGUUAGGGACAAACAGACCUGAAAUUUUUUUCUGAUCGAUUUUGAUAUAUGGAACGUUGAAAUCGGAGUUCGUAUGCAAAAGUUAUGGCUGUUUUACGAACAGACUCCGAAUUAGAGGACAAAACGGUCCGAAAGUGGGAAAAAUUUGCGGCGGUGGCUAGAAAUUGAUGGAAACGGUGGGGAAAACACAUGAACUGGACUCUAACAAGACCUAACCAGCAACAAGACCUCGACCAGGACACAAACUCAACACUGCGGACUCUGAAACUGAAAUAUGCAAAGGCUAUGGCGUGGAAGGGUUGUAGGAUGGAAAAACGAUAUGGCACUGGACUUAUGGGACGAACACAACACUCAAAACUAAGGGUAGAUGUGAACCUAAUGGUAUACCUGAAGCUUUGAUUACCACUUGAUGAGAACAAGGGUGGCCCGAUCUUCUGAAUGGUUCUGGUAACUCUCGAUUUGGUGAAGACGAGACACAAAUCGAUCUGGCUUCCGAACAACACGAUCCGAAAUCCCGCAUUUUUUUAUUUUUUUAAUAUUUUCCUUUUACUUAGGAGCACUAAAGAAGUAACCAUAGAAAAAUUGAGCUUAAACAAGUAAAAGACGUGGCCUGCGGAAUUUUGUGAAGAUUACAAAAAAUGUGAAAAAAACUUCACAAG